rnacentral:rRNA from 1 species
UGCAGUCGAGCGAGAAAGUCUGUAGCAAUACAGAUGAGUAAAGCGGCGCACGGGUGAGUACAAAAUGAGUAACCUACCAGAAAGUUCGGGACAACUCUGGGAAACUGGAGCUAAUACCGGAUGUGGUUAUCAGGACUUCGGUUCUGAUAAUUAAAGGUGACCUCUCCAUGGAAGUUAUCGCUUUCUGAUGGGCUCAUUUCCUAUCAUGGUAGUUGGUAGGGUAAUGGCCUACCAAGCCGAUGACGGGUAGCUGGUCUGAGAGGACGGCCAGCCACGCUGGGACUGAAACACGGCCCAGACUCCUACGGGAGGCAGCAGUGGGGAAUAUUGGACAAUGGGCGAAAGCCUGAUCCAGCGACGCCGCGUGGGCGAUGAAGGUCUUCGGAUUGUAAAGCCCUGUGAGACGGGAAGAAAAGUGCGCGGGAAUAAUACCCCGUGUAUUUGACGGUACCGUAAGAGGAAGCACCGGCUAACUCUGUGCCAGCAGCCGCGGUAAUACAGAGGGUGCAAGCGUUGUCCGGAAUUACUGGGUGUAAAGGGCGCGUAGGUGUCCGGAUGUGUCAGAUGUGAAAUUCCAUGGCUUAACUAUGGAUCUGCAUUUGAAACUAUCCGGAUAGAGUACGGUAGGGGAAAGUGGAAUUCCCGGUGUAGAAGUGAAAUUCGUAGAUAUCGGGAGGAAUACCUGUGGCGAAGGCGACUUUCUGGACCGUUACUGACACUGAGGCGCGAAAGCGUGGGGAGCAAACAGGAUUAGAUACCCUGGUAGUCCACGCCGUAAACGAUGGAUACUAGGUGUUGCGGGAGUUGACCCCGCAGUGCCGCAGCUAACGCGAUAAGUAUCCCACCUGGGGAGUAC